GGUUACUGCUAUCGGUGUUCGCCUAAGCCAUGCGAGUCAUAUGUUCGUAAGAACAUGGCGUACUGCUCAGUAACACGUGGAUAACCUGCCCUUGGGUCCGGCAUAACCCCGAGAAACUGGGGAUAAUUCCGGAUAACGCACAUAUGCUGGAAUGCUUUUUGCGUAAAAUGGAUUCGUCUGCCCAAGGAUGGGUCUGCGGCCUAUCAGGUAGUAGUGGGUGUAAUGUACCUACUAGCCUACGACGGGUACGGGUUGUGAGAGCAAGAGCCCGGAGAUGGAUUCUGAGACAUGAAUCCAGGCCCUACGGGGCGCAGCAGGCGCGAAAACUUUACAAUGCGGGAAACCGUGAUAAGGGGACACCGAGUGCCAGCAUCCUAUGCUGGCUGUCCGGGUGUGUAAAAUACACCUGUUAGCAAGGGCCGGGCAAGACCGGUGCCAGCCGCCGCGGUAACACCGGCGGCCCGAGUGGUGAUCGUGAUUAUUGGGUCUAAAGGGUCCGUAGCCGGUUUGGUCAGUCCUCCGGGAAAUCUGACAGCUCAACUGUUAGGCUAUCGGAGGAUACUGCCAGACUUGGAACCGGGAGAGGUAAGAGGUACUACAGGGGUAGGAGUGAAAUCUUGUAAUCCCUGUGGGACCACCUGUGGCGAAGGCGUCUUACCAGAACGGGUUCGACGGUGAGGGACGAAAGCUGGGGGCACGAACCGGAUUAGAUACCCGGGUAGUCCCAGCCGUAAACGAUGCUCGCUAGGUGUCAGGCAUGGCGCGACCGUGUCUGGUGCCGCAGGGAAGCCGUGAAGCGAGCCACCUGGGAAGUACGGCCGCAAGGCUGAAACUUAA
rnacentral:rRNA from 1 species